GAUGAACGCUGGCGGCGUGCCUAACACAUGCAAGUCGAACGGAGUCCAGCCUUUAAGACCUUCGGGUCAAAGAGGGGAAGCCUGAGUGGCGGACGGGUGAGUAACACGUGGGCAACCUGGCUCAUAGAGGGGGAUAACAGAGAGAAAUUUCUGCUAAUACCGCAUAAGCACACACUGCCGCAUGGCAGAGGGUGAAAAGAGAAUCGCUAUGAGAUGGACCCGCGUCUGAUUAGCCAGUUGGCAGGGUAAGAGCCUACCAAAGCGACGAUCAGUAGCCGAUCUGAGAGGAUGAACGGCCACAUUGGGACUGAGACACGGCCCAAACUCCUACGGGAGGCAGCAGUGGGGGAUAUUGCACAAUGGGGGGAACCCUGAUGCAGCGACGCCGCGUGAGUGAAGAAGUAUUUCGGUAUGUAAAGCACUAUCAGCAGGGAAGAUAAUGACAGUACCUGAAGAAGAAGCCCCGGCUAACUACGUG
rnacentral:rRNA from 1 species